GAUGAACGCUGGCGGCGUGCUUAACACAUGCAAGUCGAACGGAAAGGCUCCUGCUUGCAGGGGUACUCGAGUGGCGAACGGGUGAGUAACACGUGGGUGAUCUGCCCUGCACCUCGGGAUAAGCCUGGGAAACUGGGACUAAUACCGGAUAGGACGAUGGUUUGGAUGCCAUUGUGGAAAGUUUUUUCGGUGUGGGAUGAGCUCGCGGCCUAUCAGCUUGUUGGUGGGGUAAUGGCCUACCAAGGCGUCGACGGGUAGCCGGCCUGAGAGGGUGUACGGCCACAUUGGGACUGAGAUACGGCCCAGACUCCUACGGGAGGCAGCAGUGGGGAAUAUUGCACAAUGGGCGCAAGCCUGAUGCAGCGACGCCGCGUGGGGGAUGACGGCCUUCGGGUUGUAAACUCCUUUCGCUAGGGACGAAGCGCAAGUGACGGUACCUGGAGAAGAAGCACCGGCUAACUACGUG
rnacentral:rRNA from 1 species